GCUUGAUUCAACAGGCUAUAUAAUAAAAUUGGAAUGAUAUAGAGAAGAUUAGCAUUACCCUUACACAAGAAUGAUAGAAAUUUCAUGAAACAUUUCCUUUUUAA
ensembl:snRNA U6 U6 spliceosomal RNA